rnacentral:rRNA from 1 species
CGGCGUGGAUAAGACAUGCAAGUCGAACGCUGAUUUGCGGGUAGCAAUAUUCGUAAGUCGGAGUGGCGCAAGGGUGUGUAACACGUGGGUAAUCUGCCGUGAAGUCUGGAAUAACUUGCUGAAAGGCGAGCUAAUACCGGAUGUGAACGCAAGUUCAAAGUUGGGGACCGCAAGGCCUGACGCUUCACGAUGAGCCCGCGGCCUAUCAGCUAGUUGGUGAGGUAACGGCCCACCAAGGCUAAGACGGGUAGCUGGUCUGAGAGGACGACCAGCCACACUGGAACUGAGACACGGUCCGGACACCUACGGGUGGCAGCAGUCGAGAAUUUUUCUCAAUGGGCGAAAGCCUGAAGGAGCGACGCCGCGUGGGGGAUGAAUGGCUUCGGCCCGUAAACGGCUGUCAUUGCGAACAAAUUGUUUCACCUAACAC